ensembl:lncRNA novel transcript
GGUGCAGCAGCUCGCGCCAGCCUCCGCAGCCGCCUUUGUACGCGUGAUUUAUGACUUCAAUCUUGGUUCACCGAGAGUUCACACGGCUUUCGCUGCUGUUGAAGCCUCUCAAUCGAGAGGCACAGGUUUCAAGACACAUCAUCCCCUCCGAUGGUUAGGGGUGGGAAAGUCAGAUCUGCCAGUUGUUUCACAUCUGUAAGAGGCCUGGAGAGGGAGAAAAUUGCUCCUAUCCCAUGAGAAAAGGAGCCCUGCGUCCCUCCCUGAGGCCAAGGGGCUGCUCUGAAAACUGCUCUAAGAACACUACCACUUUCUACAGGACACCUGAGGGCCCAGCCCCCAUGGAUCUCUCAGUGCCUGUCUGGUCCAGAGGGAGCCAGUGGCUCUUGCCAGCACAUCACCAUUUUGUGCUCCACGAGGGGGUGGUCCAUGGAGUCAUCUCAUCUUUCAGCCCAGACCUCACUCACUCUUUCUCCAAGCCACGCCAACAUUCCUUGGUCUCUCCCAAGCCAGGAGGCAGGAAAUACAUGUACAUGGUUCAAAACUCAAAAGGCACCAAAAGUUAUACAGUGACAACCUUGUUUUCUCUAGAUCAGAGAGAUGGCUUCUGGAUUCAUCUUUCCCUGCAAUCCAGCUUCUCCUCCUGGGGCCCUCAUACUGGAGACUGGGAUCAUCAUCCAGGCUUUUGCACUGGGCCAGGAAUUUGGGAGUCAUCCUGGAUCCGUCUGCCCCUGUCAACCUUUCGCUGUCAACGGAUAUUUAUUGGGCGUCCUCAACAGCCAGGCCCUGUUCAUGGUACUGAAGAACAGCUUGUAUAAAACAACCCUGCCCUCACAGGGCGAUCACCAGUGACCUGUGGUGUGGAGUCUCCUUUUACCUAUGUCUCCUCCUUCCCACUGUCACCAUCCUUGGUCCUCCUCUGUCACCUGGAAUACUCCACUUGGUAACCAGCAUGAUCUUAUAACGCUAGUUUUACCCUUGUCAGCACUUUGCCAAAAACCUCAAAUAAAGACUUUUUUUAAAAUGUGCAAUGGAAAAAUAAAGUUAUAAAUUAUAUCAUAA